UGAAAAUUGAAGUUUAGAAAGUCAUGAGUGUCCUGCCUUUCUCACCUAUUCAUUGGCUCUUACAGAAUUGUGAUUAUCUUCUUUGGUGCUUGUAAAAGAAAAGGGAGGCGAGUGCUGCUUUCUGGACUUAUAGAUAAGUCAGGAAGAGAUGUUCUUAUGACAUAUUUUCAAGAGUUCCAGGACUCUCUGACAGUGGAAGAAAUCAGCUUUGCAGAAGUGUCAGAGAAGUUAUUGGAGCCCAGUUCCUGGUUUGAUCUACUAACAUGAUUGGAUUGGAUGUUCUCUUUUAAAUUUUCUGCUCACAAAUGCACCAAGAAGCUGCAGCUGCUUCUUUCCUGCUCACUCAUGCUUAUGGAGUAUAUAUAAAAUCCCAGUAAGUUG
ensembl:lincRNA Gm45057 predicted gene 45057